rnacentral:rRNA from 1 species
UACGGAGGAUCCAAGCGUUAUUCGGAAUCAUUGGGCUUAAAGGGUCCGUAGGCGGCCCUGUAAGUCAGUGGUGAAAUCUCACGGCUCAACCGUGAAAUUGCCAUUGAUACUGCAGGGCUUGAAUUACUAGGAAGUAACUAGAAUAUGUAGUGUAGCGGUGAAAUGCUUAGAGAUUGCAUGGAAUACCGAUUGCGAAGGCAGGUUACUGCUAGAGGAUUGACGCUGAUGGACGACAGCGUGGGUAGCAAACAGG